rnacentral:snRNA from 1 species
AAUCCGCGGUACACCGCAUGACAAU